rnacentral:rRNA from 1 species
UACGGAGGAUCCGAGCGUUAUCCGGAUUUAUUGGGUUUAAAGGGUGCGCAGGCGGGAGAUUAAGUCGGCGGUGAAAUUUUGCAGCUCAACUGUAAAAGUGCCUUCGAUACUGGUGGUCUUGAGUGUGGAUGAGGUAGGCGGAAUUUGUGGUGUAGCGGUGAAAUGCAUAGAUAUCACGAGGAACUCCGAUUGCGCAGGCAGCUUACUAAACCAUAACUGACGCUCAGGCACGAAGGCGUGGGGAUCAAACAGGAUUAGAUA